UACGAAGGGGGCUAGCGUUGUUCGGAAUUACUGGGCGUAAAGCGCGCGCAGGCGGUCUUCCAAGUCAGUGGUGAAAGCCCGGAGCUCAACUCCGGAACUGCCAUUGAAACUGUAAGACUUGAGGACGAGAGAGGUGAGUGGAAUUCCCAGUGUAGAGGUGAGAUUCGUAGAUAUUGGGAAGAACACCGGUGGCGAAGGCGGCUCACUGGCUCGUAUCUGACGCUCAGGCGCGACAGCGUGGGGAUCAAACAGG
rnacentral:rRNA from 1 species